rnacentral:rRNA from 1 species
AUACGUAGGUGGCAAGCGUUGUCCGGAUUUACUGGGUGUAAAGGGCGUGUAGCCGGGUUGGCAAGUCAGAUGUGAAAUCUAUGGGCUUAACUCAUAAACUGCAUUUGAAACUGCUGAUCUUGAGUAUCGGAGAGGCAAUCGGAAUUCCUAGUGUAGCGGUGAAAUGCGUAGAGAUUGGGAGGAACACCAGUGGCGAAGGCGACUUACUGGACUGUAACUGACGCUGAGGCGCGAAAGUGUGGGGAGCAAACAGGAUUAGAUACCCUGGUAGUCCACACUGUAAACGAUGGAUACUAGGUGUAGGGGGUAUCGACUCCCUCUGUGCCGCAGUUAACACAAUAAGUAUUCCGCCUGGGGAGUACGGCCGCAAGGUUGAAACUCAAAUGAAUUGACGGGG